AGACUUAUCUAGAAAUUUUCUUCUUCUUCUUUCUAUAUAUGCCGUGAACCAUGGAAGAAGAAAAGGUAAGGUUAAGGGUUUUACAGCCAAUUUGUAAGCAACCGACCUAAUGCGCUGAAGGAUCUUGUAGGGACUGAAAUAUCGGGUAGAAAGUUUUAAAUUCUUGCGAAGAGCCCCCGACUUUUGACGAUGGGGCUGAAACUUUAGAUAUAUAAUGGAAGGCGAUCUACUUCGCUUGGAUGGAAAUCA